ensembl:snoRNA LOC120093440 small nucleolar RNA SNORA17
UCUGCCCCUAAAGGCAUUGCAGGUGUGACUACUGUGUCACAUGUGUAUCAGUAGGUGGCAGAAAGGAGAGAGGAUAUGUUCUCUCAGUGUUCUGACCUAUGAACAUAAGAAUAAUUAGUAGCCUAACAUU